UAGACAUUCUGAACCCCAUUGUU
rnacentral:miRNA from 12 species